rnacentral:pre_miRNA from 1 species
CAGGGUGACCAGCCAUCCCAGUUUGCCCAGGACUAAGGAGUUUCCUGGGACAUGGGAUUUGCAGUGUUAAAACUGAGAUAGUCCUGGGCAAACCAGGACAGUUGGUCAUUAUGGAGAAAG